rnacentral:rRNA from 1 species
AUUGAACGCUGGCGGCAUGCCUUACACAUGCAAGUCGAACGGCAGCACGGGUGCUUGCACCUGGUGGCGAGUGGCGAACGGGUGAGUAAUACAUCGGAACGUACCUUAUCGUGGGGGAUAACGCAGCGAAAGUUGCGCUAAUACCGCAUACGCCCUGAGGGGGAAAGCGGGGGACCGUAAGGCCUCGCGCGAUUAGAGCGGCCGAUGUCUGAUUAGCUUGUUGGUGAGGUAAAAGCUCACCAAGGCGAUGAUCAGUAGCUGGUCUGAGAGGACGAUCAGCCACACUGGGACUGAGACACGGCCCAGACUCCGACGGGAGGCAGCAGGGGGGAAUUUUGGACAAGGGGGGCAACCCUGAGCCAGCAAUGCCGCGUGAGUGAAGAAGGCCUUCGGGUUGUAAAGCGCUUUUGUCAGGGAAGAAACAGCAGCUCUAACACAGUCUGCGAAUGACGGUACCUGAAGAAUAAGCACCGGCUAACUACGUG